GAAGGAAAAGUCCAGGGUUUUUACAGGAGCAGUAUUGUUAUGAUAUCUUCGUAAACAUCUGCACCCCUUUUAAUCGUGAGGUGAAACACUGUCUCUGGGGGACAGAGGCUGGGGGCUGCUGCAGGCAUUUGUUAUUCCCUCAAAAUCUAUACGGAUAGGUGUGUGUGUGUAAACAGGUGACUUUAAAUGUCCGUGGCGUGUGUGAGGAGAAGGCAAAGCAAGUGAUGUUUGUGUUGGGUGCUGGCAGCUGGAGUUCGGCGCAUGCGCAAUGAGGCGCUGCCUGGGCUGGGCAUUGGUGGGUGUGGUUUUGCGGCUUGGCUGCCCUUUGUGGGCGUGGCCAGGGCCGUGCUCUGCUGCCCGCUGAUUGGUGAAGAGCGGGCUGGGCGGGUCCCGUGGUCCCGCACAGGGCGGAGCCGGUGCGGCCACACGGUGCGAGGCGGAAGUCGCGGCCGAGGGUCCGUGGGACGGUGAUGAAGAUCAAAGAAGAGACGUGAACAAAAGGAGAAAAUGGCAUCACUUGUGUGUUUUCCAAGCUUUCCCAAGGAGCAUUAGCAGCCUUGCGACCAAUGACAGCAACUCCUGAUGUUUUUAGUGAUGUAUUGCUUCAAUAGUGUCCUUUUUUUUUAACCUACGGUAUGUGCUUUUGAAUAUGGCUGGAAGGAUUUUCCAGAGCGGGAGUCCUUUUCUUUCAAAGAAGUUGCAUUUUAGGAACUUUCCAUCAGUGCACAUCUUUGGACAUGAGGUGCUUGGUACUAUUAAUCAUCAGCAAUCAGAGUUUUCACCCUGAAAACAAAAAGAGUUAAUUUCCUUCCAAAGAUGCAAGCAUAGCAUGUCUUCUAAAAGUUGAUGAUGUCACUCAUCAUCAACUUCUCAGUGGCUGUAGUUGAGACAUGGUUAAAAAGGUCGUCUUCUGCACACUUCAGUGCAUCCAAAAGCAUUAGCAAACUGGUCAGUUGUUUUUGCUAACCUUAUGUAUUGUAGCACUGGGGAUUCUUUCUUUUUUCCCCAAAAGCAAAAAUAUACAAGGAAUCUCUUAUCUUUCUGUUUUUUCUGUUAUAAACGAAACUCGAAAAUAAAAGUUUAAAUGGUGUAA